CCCACGAUGAAGCCCUCUUGCUGAAGCCGAGCCUGAGCUUGAGCGGGCCCUGCUCCCCUGGGAGACCUUGCAGGUUUUCGAAUCCUCUCUUGCCGCCUGGGUUUACCUCUGCGGUCCUCUGUCACUGAGCUAUUUCCUUUUUUUCACGUGUUGUGUCACUGAAUUGUUAGGAACUGGGCUAUCACUCUACCCAGUCCCUGGCCUUACACCUCAGAUUCACUGGGAUCAAAAAUGUAUGUGUGGGGGCCCACAGCUUCCUGAAUGUCAUGUCCCUUUGCCUGUUAUCCAUGUCCCUCUGUCCCUGUGGAUUGAUAUGCUGUGACCUAAAACCCAGGUGUAGAUUGAUAUCCUGUUAAAAU
rnacentral:lncRNA from 1 species